rnacentral:rRNA from 1 species
UGGGGAAUUUUGCACAAUGGGCGAAAGCCUGAUGCAGCGACGCCGCGUGGAGGAUGACGGUCUUCGGAUUGUAAACUCCUGUUAAGUGGGAAGAAAGAUUCAUACCUAAUACGUAUGGAGGAUGACGGUACCACUAGAGAAAGCACCGGCAAACUUCGUGCCAGCAGCCGCGGUAAUACGAAGGGUGCGAGCGUUAUUCGGAAUAACUGGGCGUAAAGAGCGUGUCGGCGGCUUGUUAAGUCAUUUGUUAAAGAACUCGGCUCAACCGAGUGCAUGCGAGUGAAACUGACAGGCUAGAGUACGAGAGAGAAGGGUAGAAUUCUCGGAGUAGCGGUAAAAUGCGUAGAUCUCGAGAGGAAUACCGGUUGCGAAGGCGGCCCUUUGGCUCGUAACUGACGCU